rnacentral:misc_RNA from 1 species
GAUGAAGAACGUAGCGAAAUGCGAUACGUAAUGUGAAUUGCAGAAUUCAGUGAAUCAUCGAAUCUUUGAACGCACAUUGCACUCUCUGGUAUUCCGGAGAGUAUGCUUGUUUGAGUAUCAGUAAACACCUCAAACCUCUUGUUUCUUGUGAAUAAGAGAAUUGGACUUGAGCAAUCCCAACUCUUGCAAAAGAGGCGGGUUGCUUGAAAUGCAGGUGCAGCUGGACAUUCUUCUGAGCUAAAAGCAUAUUUAUUUAGUCCCGUAAAACGGAUUAUUACUUUUGCUGCAGCUAACAUAAAGGUUGAAUGGCCAAUAUGGCUGACUGAUGCAGGAUUAACAGAGAAUUUAUUCUUUGUAAACUCGAUCUCAAAUCAAGUAAGACUACCCGCUGAACUUAAGCAUAUCAAUAAGCGGAGGA